rnacentral:rRNA from 1 species
CAGGACGAACGCUGGCGGCGUGCCUAACACAUGCAAGUCGAACGAAGCAUAUUUGAUCUGAGAUUCGUCAAGGAUCGGGUAUGACUUAGUGGCGGACGGGUGAGUAAUGUAUGAGCAACCUGCCCUUCAGAGGGGGACAACAGUUGGAAACGACUGCUAAUACCGCAUGAAGUAUCCGGGAGGCAUCUUCUGGAUACCAAAGAUUUAUCGCUGAGGGAUGGGCUCAUAUCUGAUUAGCUAGUUGGUGGGGUAACGGCUCACCAAGGCUGCGAUCAGUAGCCGGACUGAGAGGUUGAACGGCCACAUUGGGACUGAGAUACGGCCCAGACUCCUACGGGAGGCAGCAGUGGGGAAUAUUGGGCAAUGGGCGCAAGCCCUGACCCAGCAACGCCGCGUGAAGGAAGAAGGCCUUCGGGCUGUAAACUUCUUUACGAGGGACGAAGGACGUGACGGUACCUCAUGAAUAAGCCACGGCUAACUACGUGCCAGCCGCAGC